UUUAUAUAUUUUUUUUUUUUUUUCCCGUAGGAUGAACGCUGGCGGCGUGCUUAACACAUGCAAGUCGAACGAUGAAGCCAGCUUGCUGGUGGAGUAGUGGCGAACGGGUGAGUAACACGUGAGUAACCUGCCCUUAACUCUGGGAGAAGCCUGGGAAACUGGGUCUAAUACCGGAGAUGACUCCUCAUCGCAUGGUGGGGGGUGGAAAGCUUUUUGUGGUUUUGGAUGGACUCGCGGCCUAUCAGCUUGUUGGUGAGGUAAUGGCUCACCAAGGCGACGACGGGUAGCCGGCCUGAGAGGGUGACCGGCCACACUGGGACUGAGACACGGCCCAGACUCCUACGGGAGGCAGCAGUGGGGAAUAUUGCACAAUGGGCGAAAGCCUGAUGCAGCGACGCCCCGUGAGGGAUGACGGCCUUCGGGUUGUAAACCUCUUUCAGUAGGGAAGAAGCGAAAGUGACGGUACCUGCAGAAGAAGCGCCGGCUAACUACGUGCCAGCAGCCGCGGUAAUACGUAGGGCGCAAGCGUUAUCCGGAAUUAUUGGGCGUAAAGAGCUCGUAGGCGGUUUGUCGCGUCUGCCGUGAAAGUCCGGGGCUCAACUCCGGAUCUGCGGUGGGUACGGGCAGACUAGAGUGAUGUAGGGGAGACUGGAAUUCCUGGUGUAGCGGUGAAAUGCGCAGAUAUCAGGAGGAACACCGAUGGCGAAGGCAGGUCUCUGGGCAUUAACUGACGCUGAGGAGCGAAAGCAUGGGGAGCGAACAGGAUUAGAUACCCUGGUAGUCCAUGCCGUAAACGUUGGGCACUAGGUGUGGGGGACAUUCCACGUUUUCCGCGCCGUAGCUUACGCAUUAAGUGCCCCGCCUGGGGAGUACGGCCGCAAGGCUAAACCAGAAAUUUUUAUUGGGGGGG
rnacentral:rRNA from 1 species